CCGGCGCACGGGUGAGUAACGCGUAUGCAACCUACCUAUCAGAGGGGAAUAACCCGGCGAAAGUCGGACUAAUACCGCAUAAAACAGGGGUUCCACAUGGAAAUAUUUGUUAAAGAAUUAUCGCUGAUAGAUGGGCAUGCGUUCCAUUAGAUAGUUGGUGAGGUAACGGCUCACCAAGUCCACGAUGGAUAGGGGUUCUGAGAGGAAGGUCCCCCACACUGGUACUGAGACACGGACCAGACUCCUACGGGAGGCAGCAG
rnacentral:rRNA from 1 species